rnacentral:rRNA from 1 species
CAGUAGCACGGGAAAACGGAGGGAGCUAGCGUUGUUCGGAAUUACUGGGCGUAAAGCGCGCGUAGGCGGUUACUCAAGUCAGAGGUGAAAGCCCGGGGCUCAACCCCGGAACUGCCUUUGAAACUAGGUGACUAGAAUCUUGGAGAGGUCAGUGGAAUUCCGAGUGUAGAGGUGAAAUUCGUAGAUAUUCGGAAGAACACCAGUGGCGAAGGCGACUGACUGGACAAGUAUUGACGCUGAGGUGCGAAAGCGUGGGGAGCAAACAGGAUUAGAUACCCCCGUAGUCCCUGUCUCUUAUACA